rnacentral:rRNA from 1 species
AGAGUUUGAUCCUGGCUCAGGACGAACGCUGGCGGCGUGCCUAACACAUGCAAGUCGAACGGAACUGUUUUGAAAGAUUUCUUCGGAAUGAAUUUGAUUUAGUUUAGUGGCGGACGGGUGAGUAACGCGUGAGUAACCUGCCUUCAAGAGGGGGAUAACAUUCUGAAAAGAAUGCUAAUACCGCAUGACAUAUCGGAAUCACAUGAUUUUGAUAUCAAAGAUUUUAUCGCUUGAAGAUGGACUCGCGUCCGAUUAGUUAGUUGGUGAGGUAACGGCUCACCAAGACCGCGAUCGGUAGCCGGACUGAGAGGUUGAACGGCCACAUUGGGACUGAGACACGGCCCAGACUCCUACGGGAGGCAGCAGUGGGGGAUAUUGCGCAAUGGGGGCAACCCUGACGCAGCAACGCCGCGUGAAGGAUGAAGGUUUUCGGAUUGUAAACUUCUUUUAUUAAGGACGAAAAAUGACGGUACUUAAUGAAUAAGCUCCGGCUAACUACGUGCCAGCAGCCGCGGUAAUACGUAGGGAGCAAGCGUUGUCCGGAUUUACUGGGUGUAAAGGGUGCGUAGGCGGCUUUGCAAGUCAGAUGUGAAAUCUAUGGGCUCAACCCAUAAACUGCAUUUGAAACUGUAGAGCUUGAGUGAAGUAGAGGCAGGCGGAAUUCCCCGUGUAGCGGUGAAAUGCGUAGAGAUGGGGAGGAACACCAGUGGCGAAGGCGGCCUGCUGGGCUUUAACUGACGCUGAGGCACGAAAGCGUGGGUAGCAAACAGGAUUAGAUACCCUGGUAGUCCACGCUGUAAACGAUGAUUACUAGGUGUGGGGGGUCUGACCCCUUCCGUGCCGGAGUUAACACAAUAAGUAAUCCACCUGGGGAGUACGG